rnacentral:lncRNA from 1 species
GAAUUAAUAGCAAUUACUUAAUUACCAUGCUUGGUUCAAGAUACAUGUUAAUAUUUUAAAAGGGUCUACCCGAGCAGUUGUAAAGAAAAAUUAUGCGCUAUUCAAUUCUCGAACCGGUCGCUGUGUAUACCCGAGCAGCUCUAAACAAAAAUUAUGCGCUAUUGAAUUCUCAAACCUGCUGUUUACUAAGGAGGUGUUUGGUUCCACCCUGCUAAACUUUAGCUGCUAAAGUUUAGCACCUUUUAGCUGCUAAACUACCAAACACCCUUGCUAAAACUUGCUAAAGUUGAGUUGCUAAAGUUUAGCACUUUAGCAAGUUUUUGGUUGCUAAAACUUGCUAAAAGGUGGGCUGGACAACCUAUACCCCUCAUUUAUUGCUUGUCUCCCCCCCUGCACACCUUUAAUAAGGGUAGAUAGGUCUUUUUACAGCUCAUUAAAUGCCUUUUAGUAAGAGUAUCCAAACAGCUUUUGCUAAGGUUUAGCAACUAAAGUUUAGCAACUUUUAGCAACUAAAGUUUAGCAAGAGGAACCAAACAGGCCCUAACUCGCAAUUAAAUGGAGCCAGUCAUCUUCUCACACGUGUUUUGCAGGUUUCAUUUGUACAAUGUACUGAAUCUGUGAUUGUCUCUCCCACCCACCACUUACAUUGCCAUCCCGGCAUAACCUUUGGCUGGCUAUUAUUAUAUUCAUUUGCUUUCCAGCCAUUAUUGUUAUUGCCUCUCAUGCUCAGAUGUUUUGCAAGUAUGCAUGCCUCUCCCCUCUUCUCUGCAAAACCAUCACAUUUUCCCAGCUUGAUCUCUCUUCGUAUGCCAUCUCUUCACCUUCGCCACU